GACGAACGCUGGCGGCGUGCUUAACACAUGCAAGUCGAACGGAAAGGCCCUGCUUUUGUGGGGUGCUCGAGUGGCGAACGGGUGAGUAACACGUGAGUAACCUGCCCUUGACUUUGGGAUAACUUCAGGAAACUGGGGCUAAUACCGGAUAGGAGCUCCUGCUGCAUGGUGGGGGUUGGAAAGUUUCGGCGGUUGGGGAUGGACUCGCGGCUUAUCAGCUUGUUGGUGGGGUAGUGGCUUACCAAGGCUUUGACGGGUAGCCGGCCUGAGAGGGUGACCGGCCACAUGGGGACGGAGAUACGGCCCAGACUCCUACGGGGGGCAGCAGUGGGGAUUAUUGCACAAUGGGCGGAAGCCUGAUGCAGCAACGCCGCGUGCGGGAUGACGGCCUUCGGGUGUAAACCGCUUUCGCCUGUGACGAAGCGUGAGUGACGGUAAUGGGUAAAGAAGCACCGGCUAACUACGUG
rnacentral:rRNA from 1 species